UGUUGAAGUCAGUUGUUCUGUUUGUUAGUUUUGGGGUUGAUCUGUUCACAACUGACAGGAUUUUCCAUUUUGGCCUUUGAGAAGACCUGGCAAUUGUUCCAUAAUUCAGCAUGAGAUGAAAACAGAUGAUAAGGGGUGCAUGAGCUCCAUGUUUGACAUUCUGAAGUUUCUCUGAAGUGUGCAAGAGCAACGUGUCCAUAUGACCCACAACAGUCAGCUUGUUUUUCCUAAUACAGCUAAACUCUAUCAGCCAAACAACCAUUCCUCUAAUGCAUGAAUGAACCACCUGAACUUUCACCUCCU